rnacentral:lncRNA from 1 species
CGGGGCGCAAGAGCGGAGCUGCGCGAGCCGCUGCGGAGGGAAGGGCUCCUAGCCAAUUGGGGUCUUUGAGGCGAAUGCGAGGCUGGGGCCGGUUGCCUACCGGCCGCUUCUCGCCGAGGCAGUCCAGACUUUUCCCCCGGCGGUGCCCGCUCCAAGACAGCAUCUGUCAACGCUCCUCUUCUCCCCUCCUCCUCCUGCCGGGCCGGGCUCCGCCGGCUGCGGCCGAGAGGACGCGGGACCCGGCGCGGUGAGCCCAUCAGCUGUCAGGCGAGCGGCGAAGCGGCUGGAGGGCGGCGAGAGACACACAAAGAACGCGGUGGGCGGCGGCGGCGAAAGGGGACGGCAACUCCUCCCCGCGCCCGCCGGUGCCACCGCCGGCCGUGCUUGUUCCGAGGCCGCGCAGACAAUGCGGCCGGGCUCGUCCCCGCGUGCCCCAGAGUGCGGAGCGCCCGCGCUCCCCCGACCCCAACUUGACCGUCUCCCGGCUCGCCCAGCCCCCUCCCGGGGUAGGGGCGCCCCCUCCCUCCGGUGGCCGGCGAAGGAAGUCGGUCCGCGGCCGCAGAUCCCGGCAACUUGCGAACCGGGAAAAGUUUGCGGCGCCUCCGCGGGGCGGCGCGACGCGGCCCGCCCCUCGCGUCCGCGGUCAUCGCGGGUGACUUUCUCGACUCGUCGUCAGCCGGGGCCGCAGCGCGGCCGGUGGGGACUGCGGGGCGGGCCGGAGUCCGUCCGAGGGCUCCCGCACCUCGGGCUGCGGAUUUCAGGUACUCCACUGGGCAUUUUCUCUUCAUGGAGCUUAUAGCAACAAAAGUGUUUUACA